AAUAAAUAUCAAAAAACUACAGAUUUUCGAUUCAUAAAGUUAUAGUAUUUACACUGGAAAACAAAUAAUAUUUUCAAAGAAAGACAAAUAAACAAAAAGGUCCAUUUGUAGCAGUGUUUGUAUAAUCCCGUCUAAUCCCGAUAAUACCGUCCCUAAUAACACUAAUAGCGUAAAAUGCCAUUUUAAAAACCUUUCAUUAAACCCAUUCGUUCCCACUGUCAACCGCUACUCAAAUGUUAAUGUGGUGUUCACCAUCUGGCAAGUUAGAAUUGAGUUUUGCUCUUUAGGCUUCAUGUGAUAGAACAACUUUCAGCUGAGCCAGCAAACAUCAGGCCUCCCGCUAGCAAGGGACUUAUUGCAAACCGUGACAUCGACUUACCAAAAUGAAAUGACAGACGACUACUUGAAACUAACAACGCCAGGAAAUGUAUUGAUGACAAACAAUAAAGAGUGAAAACCUCUUCUUUUCUGACAAUCCGAGCGUCAAGUACUGCGACGUUUAUAGGACUUAGCGAGUUCACUAAUUAUACACGUAUAACCCGUCAGAGCAAACUCUUCAAGAAACAAUGCAUGAUAAGAUGUGCUAGAUCUAGUAUACAAAUAGGAAAGGGAUAUAAAAAAAACACGGUUAACAAUAAAUAAUCAACAAAAAGACCGCGUAAGUCUGCCCUAAUAAGUAAAGAUCUGCUUUUCCCUGUCUGGUGUGACUAUUUUUUUUUAAGGACGACUUACAAAAAGAUAUGCGUGAAAGAUGGAUUUUUUUUAUAAGCACAAGCUAAUCAUAGCUAGAGCCAAUGCCUUGCGCUGGCCUUUUUUUUUUAAAAAGUGGGUUUAUGUUUACCAAAUUCAAUGGAUAAAAUCAAAGUAUAUAACUACAAAGCAUUUCUAUGGAAGAACAACAGUAAUUUGCUCAAUUGCAAAUCUGUCAUAAAUUCUGGUAAAAAUGUUUGUCGGAAUAUUGACAUAAAACAAUAAGAAAGUCUUUAUUUUUUCGCAUCUGUUAUCCACUUUUUAACACACAAAAUAAAGAUUUUCUUUUUUUUUAUUUACAUAAUUCACUUUCGUUUAUUAACAAGAGCAUGCUCUGUUUUAAUGUUGCCGCCAAUAUGAAUUCCCGCAAGGUUUGACAAAAAUACAUUUAUCUAUGAUGGUUGAAGCAGGAAAUUAAAAAUGAAAAUAUAAAUUAAAGUCAGGUGUCGGAGCGCAAAAUGUCAACUUCAAUGAACGGUUCACCAUGAUCACCGUCAUUGCUAGUACGGAGCGUAUAAUUGAUGAAUCAAGUAUGUUUAUUUGGCAAAAUUAAACAAAUGAGAUUAUCAUUAUGCGAUAAACACACUAGACAGCUUAUUUCCCAGUUAAUUCAACAAUAUGGCUUAUCUUGAUCGAGAAUUGUCCAUCCGCUUUUGUCUGGAGAUUUAGGAAAUAUUUUUCAAGAAGUAUAAGACAUGCGUUUGUUGCUGCUCAUAUGAAGUUUGGAGUUGUUGGCGUGAAGUAAUCCGUUCAUAAUGCCGGAGAAUUUACCUUUUCAUCUUCUGAUUCAAGUACAAUUACUACUGAUUGCAGCAAAGGCGCCGUUGGCGGCUGAGCAGUGUAAUAUUACUACAUCGUGUCGCUGGUCUAAUGAUGACCUUUGUUCCGUCGACACAAACGCGGAAGACUGCGUAUUAGAUAAUAACUGUUGUUGGGGAUAUCAAGAAGGGAACGCUGGAAAGUGCUUCAACCGCACCUUCAUGGAGGGACGGAUUGAAGAUUGUCUCAUUACCCCACCAAUCAGCUGCAAAAGCCAGCGUCCAUGGACUGGCGACAUAGGCUCUUGGGGAGAUGCGCUCAAAGGGAAGAUUUUAGAAGAGCAAUUUGUCGUAAGUCGACUUCAGUGCCACGACUUCUGCACAAGGAAUGCUAGGUGUGCGGCAGUAAAUGUCGGUCCCGUAUUGAUGGGGAAGCGGGUUUGUGAGUUACUGGAAGCGACAGAUAGCGUUCAAACACAGCAGCGCGCCGGUUACAGUGGCAGCAUUCUCAUACACGAAGAGUUUCGCAAGACUUAUUUGGAAUCAGGUUGUUCGACCCAAUGAUGCGUGCCGAUAUUUUGAGGAGACCAUUUACGUGGCCCUAUAUAUACGGAGAGUCCGCUAAAAACAAUUAGAAAGUUAGUGGAGAAAUAUAUGGCUACAAAUGAUUGGGGAGGACACAGAGCAAGUAAUGAGGAAAAAAUUGAAAACGAAGUUGAUCAGAUUACGUGAAAUAGACUUCCAGACAUGCGCUGAAACAUUGUAUCGCAGCUGAAAGCUUCUAGGUCAAAGGACACAUCGCAUUUCUAGAGAGAGCCAGAAUAGCAAGGUCCCUAGCCCUGUUACUCCACGCAUCUCUUAGUCCGUCACACGCGUGCAUAUGUGCGCACAAAGAACAAAAGCAAGCCACUGUACUUUUAUUUGGGAACUAAACAGUCGUUGUUUGAUUACCAAAAACAAAAACCUAUUACUCUAAAGUCUUUUAAGCAUAAAAUGUAUAAGAAUGUGUGAGAGCUUUAAAAAAAGGGCUUCUUAUACGCGGGUUUAUUUUGCAAAGCUGUGGGAGGGCCUCGAAAUAAUGGAAGGGGGCACGAUACAGUAACAUCAAUAAAAUAUUGGCGCACAGCCACACCCCUA